rnacentral:tRNA from 2 species
AGUCUUAAUAAAAAUUUAAAUUGCAAAUUUAAAAAAGAUGAAAUUAUUAAACAUCUAAGAUUU